rnacentral:rRNA from 1 species
UCUUGCGCAAUGGGCGAAAGCCUGACGCAGCGACGCCGCGUGGGGGAUGAAGGCCUUCGGGUAGUAAACCCCUUUCAGGAGGGAAGAUGGGACGGGCAACCGUUCGGACGGUACCUUCAGAAGCAGCCACGGCUAACUCUGUGCCAGCAGCCGCGGUAAGACAGAGGUGGCAAGCGUUGUUCGGAUUUACUGGGCGUAAAGGGUGCGUAGGUGGUUAGGUAAGACCUGCGGGAAAGACCUGGGCUUAACCCAGGAAGGUCGUAGGUGACUGCCUGGCUAGAGGGCGGGAGAGGAGAGCGGAAUUCCCGGUGUAGCGGUGAAAUGCGUAGAGAUCGGGAGGAAGGCCGGUGGCGAAGGCGGCUCUCUGGAACGUUCCUGACACUAGCACGAAG